UCUCUGAGGUGAACAUUUCUGUUGUGUUUGUCCUAAAAAGAAGUUAUGGUGUUUACAUUUGUCAUCUGACAGAGUUCCGAUCUGGAGAUUAAAGGGAUAGUUCACCCAUAAAUCAUAAUUUACUCACCAUCAAGUAGUUCCAAACCUGUUUAAAUGUCUUUGUUCUGCUGAACACAAAGGAAGAAAUUUGGAAGAAUGUCAAUAAACAAAUAGAUCUCGCCCGCCAUUGACUACCAAAGUAGGACAAAAAAAUACUACGCUAGUCAAUGGGGGGCGAGAUCUGUCAGGCAUACUUUUUUGGGAUCUAGGCGUUUUGUUUCAUGUCGCAUAUUUAUUAAUCUUGAUUUCUCACAUCUUGUGUGCUUUUUCUGGGCAAGACCGAGUCGCUAUUCACUGCCAUUAUAUGGACGAGCGCCAUUUUUGUUUUGUUUUUAAUUCUCGUUUUGUGGUCCAUAAAAGAAAGAAGGCAUACGGCAUUAAAACAACAUCAUGAAAUCACACUCGGAGAACAGGAUCUCACCUUACUGACAGACGUUUCUUCCACCCGACACUCCUCCAUCGACUCCUCCAGAGAGUUUCCAGAGGUUUCCAUCUUCAUGCGGUGAGAGCGGAUGGAUUUCACAUCGUCCUCAUCUUCACCUGCCACUGAGGGAAACACCUGAGGAGGAAGAGCAAUCAUAACAACGAAUAAUAUCAUGCAUCUACCAUCACUUCCUCAUCACUGGGCGGUUCAGGAGCAGAAAUGGCGGCUUUACUGAUGGUCUGAGCUUCAAACUGUGGGCAGGCGGCCUGAGCAUUUCCAUCUUUAUCUCGCUU